GAGUUUGAUCCUGGCUCAGGACGAACGCUGGCGGCAUGCCUAAUACAUGCAAGUCGAACGAACACCUUCGGGUGUUACUGGCGAACGGGUGAGUAACAGGUGAAUAGCCAGGCCAUUAGACGAGGAUAACUACUGGAAACGGUACCUAAUACUGGAUAGGACGACAGUUUAAAGAUCCUUUCGGGGAUUACUAAUGGAAGGGCUUGCGGCGCAUUAGCUAGUUGGUGGGGUAAAGGCCUACCAAGGCGACGAUGCGUACCCGACCUGAAAGGGUGACCGGCCACACUGGGACUGAAACACGGCCCAUACUCCUACGGGAGGCACCAGUAUGGAAUCUUCGGCAAUGGACGAAAGUCUGACCGAGCAAUGCCGCGUGAGUGAAGAAGGUCUUCGGAUUGUAAAGCUCUGUUAUUUGGGAAGAAAAGUAUUAGCAGGAAAUGGCUAAUAUGUGACGGUACCAAAUGAGAAAGCCACGGCUAACUACGUGCCAGCAGCCGCGGUAAUACGUAGGUGGCAAGCGUUGUCCGGAAUUAUUGGGCGUAAAGAGUGCGUAGGCGGUUAAUUAAGUCUAGUGUGAAAGCCCAUGGCUUAACCAUGGAGGGUGACUAGAAACUGGUUAACUUGAGGAUAGGAGAGGAAAGUGGAAUUCACGUGUAGCGGUGAAAUGCGUAGAGAUGUGGAGGAACACCAAUGGCGAAGGCAGCUUUCUGGCCUAUACUGACGCUAAUGCACGAAAGCGUGGGUAGCAUACAGGAUUAGAUACCCUGGUAGUCCACGCCGUGAACGAUGAGUAGUAAGUGUCGGGAGAACUCGCUGCUGAAGUUUACGCAAUAAGUACUCCGGCUGGGAAGUACGGUCGCAAGACUGAAACUCAAAGGAAUUGACGGGGACCCGCACAAGCGGUGGAGCAUGUGGUUUAAUUUGACGCAACGCGAAGAACCUUACCAGGCCUUGACAUCGUGAUGAACGCUCUAGAGAUAGAGUUUUCCUUCGGGACAUCAUAGACAGGUGGUGCAUGGUUGUCGUCAGCUCGUGUCGUGAGAUGUUGGGUUAAGUCCCGCAACGAGCGCAACCCUCGUCGUUAGUUGCUAACAUUAAGUUGAGGACUCUAACGAGACUGCCAGUGACAAACUGGAGGAAGGUGGGGAUGACGUCAAAUCAUCAUGCCCCUUAUGGCCUGGGCUACACACGUGCUACAAUGGCUAGAACAAAGAGAAGCGAAGUGGUGACGCGGAGCAAACCUCAAAAAACUAGUCUCAGUUCAGAUUGCAGGCUGCAACUCGCCUGUAUGAAGUCGGAAUCGUUGGUAAUCGCGAAUCAGCAUGUCGCGGUGAAUACGUUCCCGGGUCUUGUACACACCGCCCGUC
rnacentral:rRNA from 1 species